GCAUGCCUGAAAGUUGAACUCAUGUAACUCUGUUUAGAUGCUUCACGAACUUAGAGUGGGACUUGGGUUAGAGAUUUGAUAUCUAAACUACUGCCAUUUUCAUAAAACUCUAAGUGGUAUCUUGUUGGAUAGUUACUCUGUGUUAAUGAUUAUUUUAUGCAUGUAGGUUUGUAUAUGUGUGUUUGUAGACCAUGUGAAUGUAUGGAAAAUUGGUUCUCCCGACAAGUAGUGUUAGC
rnacentral:lncRNA from 1 species